GUGGGGAAUCUUGCGCAAUGGGCGAAAGCCUGACGCAGCCAUGCCGCGUGAAUGAUGAAGGUCUUAGGAUUGUAAAAUUCUUUCACCGGGGACGAUAAUGACGGUACCCGGAGAAGAAGCUCCGGCUAACUUCGUGCCAGCAGCCGCGGUAAUACGAAGGGGGCUAGCGUUGCUCGGAAUUACUGGGCGUAAAGGGCGCGUAGGCGGACAGCUUAGUCAGAGGUGAAAGCCCAGGGCUCAACCUUGGAAUUGCCUUUGAUACUGGCUGUCUUGAGUUUGGGAGAGGUGAGUGGAACUCCGAGUGUAGAGGUGAAAUUCGUAGAUAUUCGGAAGAACACCAGUGGCGAAGGCGACUCACUGGCACAAUUCUGACGCUGAGGCGCGAAAGCGUGGGGAGCAAACAGGAUUAGAAACCCGGGUAGUCC
rnacentral:rRNA from 1 species